rnacentral:rRNA from 1 species
UACGAGGGGUGCAAGCGUUAUUCGGAAUCACUGGGCGUAAAGAGCGCGUAGGCGGUUUGUUAAGUUGUUUGUUAAAUGCCUUGGCUUAACCAAGGAACUGCAACCAAAACUGGCAGACUAGAGGACAAGAGAGAGAGGUGGAAUUCUCGGAGUAGCGGUAAAAUGCGUAGAUCUCGAGAGGAAUAUCGGUUGCGAAGGCGGCCUCUUGGCUUGUAUCUGACGCUAAAGCGCGAAAGCGUGGGGAGCAAACAGGAUUAGAAACCCUAGUAGU